GGGGGCGCGCGGAGAGCUGCCGGAGCAGAGCGGAGCGCAGGCAUCUUCCGCAAUCCAUUCAUGCACUGAAGCGCGUGCAGAGCUGCUGCUCGCUGCCAUUGUUACUCGCGGGCGGUGUGGGAGCCGAGCCUCCACUCUGGCGAGAUAAAUGGCCUCUGACAGCCCCUCCUCGCCAAGAGAGCUCCUCGGAUUUCACAGCGCAGCGGCUCUCAGCUCCUUCUGUGUGUGGCUGAUUCUUUCCAUUUCAGCUCCUCUGUCACCUUGUGAUACAGCCAGGGGACCCUCACCAGGACACCAGCACCAUGUUGUUCGGACCUUCCUACCACCAGGAUUGGGAGCCAAUAAACCUCUUUACUUUAUAAAAUACUUGACCUCAUGUAUUUUGUUACAGCAACACAAAACAGACCAAGACAGU
ensembl:lncRNA